UCUAAAACUCAGCGGCCACUGAUUAGUGUUAGCUUGCAAAAUCAUCUUAUAUUACAGAACGAAGGGAGUAGAUUUUGACACAGUGCUGCCUCUUCAGCGAAGGGAGGAGGCAUGCUCGUGUCCUGCCCGAUUAUGUGUGUCUGAGGUUUGUCUUGCUAUCAUAGGGCCUACAGAGUAUAUCCGGGUGGCUCCAAAUUAUUGUGUUGGAGGAGCAACGGCUCCUGGUCGAAGUGAGUGGCUGCGUCAGUGCACUAAGAGCAUCUCCAUCAGCCGCGUAAUAUAAACGCCACACUAAAAAAAUAUAGUUUUUCUUCGCGCGCAGCCGCUCCGAGUGCAUCAGCCGAGGCGCGAAAAACACGCGCGCGGCAUAAGUGGUUCAGCGCGGGGGUGAGACGGCAUCGCAUGCAGUUUAUUUCGUGCGCCCACUCUUGCGCGCUGCACACUCAAGCGACCGCGCUGCGACUUUCACCUACCCUCAAUUCAGGCGCCGUCGCCGCCGCCUGCACCACCUUAUUUGCUCCCGCGACCCGAUGGCGCUUCCCCGGUCUAUCCCCACGCCGCUGUUGCUUCUUCCGUGUCCCUCUAGUCACCGUCGCCCCUAGCGUGCAUCAUUCCUCCGACGAACAACGCCCGGCCGCCCACUGCCGCUCGACGUCCACAAGGUGUUCGACAAAACGCUUGCAAGCAGUGGAGAUCAUUGACUAAGGAUGGGGACCUUGAGGCGUUCGACGAUAUGCUAUCCAAAAUGAAAUCUACUGCUUCUUCUCUACUGCGGCGGUCCAGGAGGACGAUUUCUUAGUGUUUCAAUUGCUCGUUUGGCUGGCCUGCGUGCCAUGAUAGGCUGGAUGCUUUGUACCCAUACUUUCAUACUGUGUUAAACUUAUGUGGUUUUCUUCUGGUGGUUGUGACUCUGCCUGGUGGCUUUAUCUAUAAAGUCGGGCUCUCGCCUUUUAU